rnacentral:lncRNA from 1 species
UUUAUUAUUUAAAUGAAGACACGUGAAUAAUGUUAAUCUCCUCGUCAAUCCAUGUGCUUUUUACAUCUACCUAUGUCUAAAAGUGAGUAAAAAUCGAUUCAAAUCGAUUUAAUCGACUGAAAUUAAUGAAAUAUGAUCAUUUUGGUUUAGUUUAAUCGAUUUUCGAUUAUAAUCGAUUUUAAGAUCGAUUAAAUUAGUUAAAUCGAUCGGUUAUCGAUUUUCAAAAUUGAUAAUCGAAUUAACUGAAUUAAUCAAUUUUAUAAUAACUAAGGGUAAAUAUAUAAAUUCUCAUAAAAAAACCUUAAAUUUAAUUUACUUUUUCUAACUCAUCGUCUCACCCCACACACGUCGUGCCUUUUUUUUGCUCUUUGCAAUUUGCUCCCCCCAGUCUCUUGCAUCUUUGCCUCCCUCUUACUCUUUUGCUCGACUGCUUCCCUCUUAAUCUCUUGCUCUCUCUAAUUUGCUGCAUAAGAUCAGACAAUUGUAGAGAUCGAUCUUCCUUUGCUGCCCAAGACGGCAUCAUAAGUUCCUAAAUCUUGAUAACCUUUAUUUUUUCUUUUAUAGUGAUACUAUGUCUUUGUUUAGAGCUGUAUUCUUCCUGUCUGGUCUAUCAGAGAUGCUUUGGGGAAAUGGUUUGUGGUUUUGUCUUUCAAGACUACAAGCUGUAGUUUUCUUUGUUGACCACUGGAAAGUUCUGUCCUCAUCCUGUUUUAUGGAUACGAAAGCAUAGGACUUGUGGGGGAGAAUCCAUCCACUGAGCCAACCCCUGUUACUAUCUUGAAAGGGAAUAGAUGGUUUGUCCUGUUCAUUCCUGCACUUUUUAAACCGUCUUUUCUUUUUCUUUUUCUGUUUAGUCAUAAGUUAGAAAAGCCAGUCUCCUUUAAGUAGUAAGCCUGGGGCAGCCCGCCUCUAAUGCCAAUUCUUGUAGCUCACUUUCUGAAGUCAGGGAAGAGUUGAUUGGAAGGGCGAUUCCAAAACAUGGUUUCUUGCUUUAGUCCGGUUUUCACAGUGAUUGUGAAAGUAGGCUCGCUUAAAGAUAAAUAAGGAAGGUAUUCAAAGGGAUGCUAGUAAGUCAGAAAAAGUAGUCUUUCCAUGGCCCGGUAGAUUAAGUGGGGACUGUGUGAUGAGAGCUUUCCAGAAAGCCAGUCGUGGUAGGUAGGUAGGAUUUAACCCUUUUCGUUAGCGAAUUUCCUUCUUCGCUUUGUUCUUGCCAUCUAGUAUAAAACAAGUCUUUUAAACCAAAAAGUCAGAGUACUUCACACUUUUCUUCCAGCUUUUGUCCUCUUUUCCUAUUAAUGUUUCCAAUAGCUCGGUUUAAGAAGUAUGGAAAGAUUUCUUUAAGGUCUUAUCAUAUAUGAAUUGGAAUAAGAAUAAAGUAGAAAAGCACCUUACUAGAUCUAGCAACUAAUUAAUCUAAAUUGUGCUAGAUACUUAAAUUAAAAGCUAAAAUAAAUUAGCAUAAACUAUACUAGAUACUUAAAUUGUUCAUUGAUAAAACAAACAACUAAUAUAUAGUUUGAUCAACAAACUAUUUCAUUAUUUGAAUAUCUAAUGUGUUCAAUAAUUGUGUGACCACUACUUUAUUAUUGUUUCAUUAUUUGAAUAUAAUUUUAUUU